GAUAACUUGCAAAUCCAAUUUUCUUUUAUUGUUAUAUUUGUGUUGAUUUGGUGUCAUUUUGUGCUUAAAAGAGUGGUUUAACUUGAUUUAUUGUUUUUAUGCUAGGAAAAGUUGGAUUUGAUAUGAAUGAAGCAAAAAGGAGCACAAUUGAAAUGUUUUGGAGCAAGGAAGGAGCUGCUGGAAUUUUGGAACACAAAUGCAAGCUGUUAGGCUCUUAGCCUUGGGCAAGACUAAGCAGGAAAUCAGAUCAGCGGACUGAUUGUGACAUUAUUGGCUGGUCACGACUUCUUCAACUAAUUCCAGCACGUUUUACAGCCACAUGAUGAUAUUAGACACAGUUUUUAGUGGGUAUUUUUAUUGUAUUAGUGGACCCCACCUUCUAGGGGCUAUUUAAGUCGAAAUUAGGUCUUUUUGUGGAUCAUCUUUUGCCUCCCUGGGGUUGUGACGAAUUUGAGAGAAUUUUUGAGAGAUUUUUGCCGAACUUUCAAUCCUUUAGAUGAUGUUUUCUUCUAUAGCCAUGUGUGGCUAAACGUUC
rnacentral:lncRNA from 1 species